GAAAAUGAACAAAAUAAAAAGGCGAAAAGAAAUCCAAAAAUAAUAAUAAUAAUAAAAAAAGAAAUAGACGACAGUCGUGUAGUACCACGGGUGGCCACCGUUAGCAUGCGGAAAAGAUGGCAGUAAUGCAGCAAAAGUAUUUGCCGACUGUCACAAAAAAAAUCGUAGAAGUAGUUGUUGCGAUGCCAACGAAGCCGUGACGCUAGUUUAGCCUGCUGAUUCAUUACAUCACAACAAGAAUUUAUAGCGUCAAAGGGCGCAACGUACAACCACGAUUUAACCUUUGGCCUCAAAGUGAUGCGAGAUUCAAGUGAGGAGGUGUACAUCGUUAGUCCGUCAGUAUUUCAGGCCAGCCCUCAUGGACCCACUCCGUCUCUCAUCGGCGACAGCCAAUUGGACAUUGAGAUUCCUUCUCAACAACAUCCUCGGUUCGAUUGAGGUCCUCUUCGCCGUAGCCGAACACAAGCCCGCCUGUUCCUGCGGCAUCAUGCUCCUCUUCUACUGGACAGGAACGGACAACAUAAGAACAACAACAAUCGGUCAAAGGAGGGAAGCUGACAUAAAGCAGAGCUGUCCAUCGCAAAUCAAAGUAGCAACAAAGUCACGCUCCAUUACUUGAGGUUAUCAGACAAAGGUCCACGGCUUCGCGUUGAUGCUACACAUUGGAUUCACGCAACAGGAAUGACGUAAUCAGCGGCGCGCCUGAAUGGGGUGAUUCUUCUUCUUCAGAGUCCCCUCCCCUGCCGCUGGGUUACAGCAGCAUUCGUACAGCAGAGCAAAGACAAUCAGCGAUAGUGCUCCCAGUACAAACACCACCAUGACCACGAAACCCCCCAGCGCCCAUGGCUCUUGAUGCAAACGAAAGAGGAACCAUCCUAUCCAGUCGUCGGGUUUCUGCUGUCCUGGUACGCUGCACAAAGUGAUAAAGCAUCAGUUGAACAAGAAUCUGUGUCGGUUGAGAUAAGCGCAUACUGUACUGUAUAUACAGAACGUUAGUUGCCACUUAUAAAUGGUAACCUUCUGCCCUAGGAAUUAGACAUUGAAAUACUUUUAAAGCUGCUGAUGCCGAAAACUAUUGUCAUCAAAAACAUUGCACUUCAAAAACUCACCUCUCCACAGCCAUGUCCUACUAAAUGGUUCUCUCACAGCUCAGUGAGUUUGAACAAAGUGUGACCAUAGCUUAUGUCAAUGGGGAGUUUAGACAGGGAUGCCUCUUCAUCCAACAGCAGCAGCAGCAGAAGCUCUAAAACUAUCUGAAUGUCGACAAAAUGUGACGGUUUCCUAAACAAGCGUGUAGCCUACGCAGAGAGCAAAUCUAGGCCUCAAGCCUUUCCAACGUACGCUCUUGUGUGACGCAAAAGCAACACGGGUUAAUGUUUACACAAAAUAUUGACGUGAACUCAAAAGAGGAAGCUGAUAAUAAACUCCGUCUAUGGCAUGGCCAUGUC